rnacentral:rRNA from 1 species
AUUGAACGCUGGCGGCAGGCCUAACACAUGCAAGUCGAGCGGUAGAGAGGUGCUUGCAUCUCUUGAGAGCGGCGGACGGGUGAGUAAUGCCUAGGAAUCUGCCUAGUGGUGGGGGAUAACGUUCGGAAACGGACGCUAAUACCGCAUACGUCCUACGGGAGAAAGCGGGGGAUCUUCGGACCUCGCGCCAUUAGAUGAGCCUAGGUCGGAUUAGCUAGUUGGUGAGGUAAUGGCUCACCAAGGCGACGAUCCGUAACUGGUCUGAGAGGAUGAUCAGUCACACUGGAACUGAGACACGGUCCAGACUCCUACGGGAGGCAGCAGUGGGGAAUAUU